GCGGGAUGAAUCGGCGGUUUUAUUACACGGCAAACUUCAACUCCUAAGACAGUCUUGGUCCAAAUUUGUAUCUAUACAUCUUAGCGUUAACGUCAACAAUUAGACGAGAUACGGGCCUGGGCAAACUAAAGACUUUAAAAAUUGGUAUGUGCUGCUGCUCCGCAAUGUAUGUGCCAUUUUCUGAAGGACAAAGACAUAAUCUUUCAAUCAAUUCAAUUCAAGUAUGGAGCUGGCAUGCCAAUAAAUUUUAGUAGUCCUUUGUUUAUUUCUUCAUCGUUGUCAAUUCGUUUAGUUUAUUAUGUGUCCUUUUUAAACAUCGGACUCCAGUCUACUUUUAUACUGAGUGUAACUGUGCGUUUAUUGAAUAUGAAGAUAGGAGCGGGUUCAGAUCUCAUAGAACAUGUUUAUCUCUGUCGCAUUUUUGUGGCAGUCCUAAAUUAAGUCAGGAACCUCUAGCCUUUGUAAGUCUUGUGUGUUUUUUUUAUAAUUUUGGUUCAUUUGUUUGUUUCGGAGUUGAUUACGGCGUCCAUAUCGCUGAACUAGCAUAUAUUAUGAAAAAAUAAGUGCCUAUUGAAGCCCGAUUCCGGGUGCGGGAUAUUAUCGUUCCGUUAAAGACACAUGUGUGGCCUUAAACUAUUUUCUGCUCUUUGAUCGGGUUGUUGUCCCGUUCCCAAACUCUAUUCUAUUUAACUUGUUGCUGGACGUUGUUGGACGUUGCUGGACGUUAAGCAGCCAUCCAUCUUCACUAUUGAUUACUUUUUGUUUUCUUAAGCGCCAUGUUAGAAACAAUUCAUGCAUUAUUCAUGAUGGUAACAAAUAAAGCAAUAAAUCCAAAAGGGUGCUCUUCAAAGUGACCACAAAGAAAAGAAUGCCGG
rnacentral:lncRNA from 1 species